GACGAACGCUGGCGGCGUGCUUAACACAUGCAAGUCGAACGGAAAGGCCCUGCUUUUGUGGGGUGCUCGAGUGGCGAACGGGUGAGUAACACGUGAGUAACCUGCCCUUGACUUUGGGAUAACUUCAGGAAACUGGGGCUAAUACCGGAUAGGAGCUCCUGCUGCAUGGUGGGGGUUGGAAAGUUUCGGCGGUUGGGGAUGGACUCGCGGCUUAUCAGCUUGUUGGUGGGGUAGUGGCUUACCAAGGCUUUGACGGGUAGCCGGCCUGAGAGGGUGACCGGCCACAUUGGGACUGCGAUACGGCACAGACUCCUACGGGAGGCAGCAGUGGGGAAUAUUGCACAAUGGGCGGAAGCCUGAUGCAGCAACGCCGCGUGCGGGAUGACGGCCUUCGGGUUGUAAACCGCUUUCGCCUGUGACGAAGCGUGAGUGACGGUAAUGGGUAAAGAAGUACCGGCUAACUACGUG
rnacentral:rRNA from 1 species